GUCAUUAAUGCUGGUUCAGCAAGUUUGGUUGGUCAAAAACAUGAUUUUCAUGAAAGUUUAUUUAUAAAAAAGUUUGUUCAUCACUGGGUAUGCUAUAGAAUUAACUUGUCUAUAAUCAUUCAUUCUUUUUCUAAAUUCUUAUUUCAACUUACAUAGAAUGAUGUCCAGCUGAUUGAUAACUUUUCUCAACUUUUAUUAAUGUGAUAGCAUCCUAUGUUCAUUGGGAACCUUCUGCAAUUUUUGAUAUGAACUUAUAGCGCUUUUGAGAGAUCUAUGAAUAGAAAUAUCUGAAAUAAAUAUGAAGAUUUUUUUUUUAAUAAAAAUUUCUAUAUGUUGUGCAUUU
rnacentral:misc_RNA from 1 species